rnacentral:rRNA from 1 species
UACAGGGGGUGCAAGCGUUACUCGGAAUUACUGGGCGUAAAGAGCGCGUAGGCGGUUUGGUAAGUUCGGUGUGAAAGCCCUGGGCCUAAUCCAGGAAGUGCACUGAAUACUAUCAGACUUGAAUGCAGGAGAGGUUGACGGAAUUCCUGGUGUAGAGGUGAAAUUCGUAGAUAUCAGGAGGAACAACAGUGGCGAAGGCGGUCAACUGGACUGUUAUUGACGCUGAGGCGCGAAAGCGUGGGGAG